rnacentral:rRNA from 1 species
GGUGAAAGUUUAAAUGCCUGUAGAUGAGCUUGCGUCCGAUUAGCUAGAUGGAGUGGUAACGGCACACCAUGGCGACGAUCGGUAACUGGUCUGAGAGGAUGACCAGUCACACUGGAACUGAGACACGGUCCAGACUCCUACGGGAGGCAGCAGUGGGGAAUUUUCCGCAAUGGGCGAAAGCCUGACGGAGCAAUACCGCGUGAGGGACGAAGGUCUGUGGAUUGUAAACCUCUUUUGUUAGGGAAGAUAAUGACGGUACCUAACGAAUAAGCAUCGGCUAACUCCGUGCCAGCAGCCGCGGUAAGACGGAGGAUGCAAGCGUUAUCCGGAAUUAUUGGGCGUAAAGCGUACGUAGGCGGUUUUAUAAGUCUGUUGUCAAAGCCCGAGGCUUAACCUUGGAAAGGCAAUGGAAACUGUAAGACUAGAGAGAGAUAGGGGCAGGAGGAAUUCCAGGUGUAGCGGUGAAAUGCGUAGAUAUCUGGAAGAACACCAGUGG